rnacentral:lncRNA from 1 species
UAAAAUGUAAAUUUUUAAACUUCAAAUUUCAAAUUUUAAAUUUUAGAUUUAAAUUUAAAUUUAAAUUUUAAAAUUAAAUUUAUAGUUUUAAAUUUUAAAUCUUAAAUCUUAAAUAUAAAAUUUUAAAUUCAAAUUUUAAAUUUAAAUCUCAAAUUUUAUAUUUUAUAUUUAAAUUUUAAAUUUUAAAUUUUAACUUUUUGUUUUAAAUUCUAAAUUUUAAAUUUAGAUUUAAUUUUAAAUUUUAAAUUUAGAUUUUAAAUUUUAAAUUUUAAAUUUUAAAUUUUAAAUUUUAAUGUAAAAUUUAAACUCGUUUCCAUACAAAAUCUAUAAGAGCCUACCACAAGUAUAUAGCUCACCCCCAAACAUAUAUAUACGAUUAUCUAGUUAAUAUGUCUCCUCAUGAGUACAAGAUACAUUUCUAAUAUGCAAGGUGAGCCGGCAAAUCAUGAUACAGAAUAUCUAGAGCCAGUAUUCACCGGCCGGAAGGAUUUCUGUUCCGCGACAAGUAUGAUGGAUCUCCGAGUCCGAGUUUCCUGCCAACAGAGGCAAUAAAUGAGAAUGCUGGUCUCAGAGACCAACUAUAUUGCAUGAAGAAAGAACUGACCGAAUUUAGUAUAACACACACCAAAAAAAGGAACAGACAAAAUAGACGCAUCGCAUCAUUAUUUCAAAGAAACCCAAGCACCAUUAAUGAGGGGGGAAAAUGGACAUGAACGAGGAUCGAUUGUUAUAAAAGAAACAAUGCUCGCAAAUCCUUAUUGAGAGCAGUGAAUGCAAUAAAACAGUGAACAUGGUUUCAGAAGUACUUAUUGCAAAUUUGUCCAAAAAUUACGAGAAAAAGCAAGACAGGUUUUCAUGGAGUUUCUUCUGCGUCAAGAGAAGAUGAUAUGAUUUGUAUCUUAUCAUAUUUGUCAAGGUUACAGCAAAAAAGUANUCGACAAGGUUGGAGGCGAGGAAAGCUAAGGGAGGGUGCGCGGGUGAGAGCGAGCAGGACAGAGGCGAGCCGGGCCACCUCCGCCUCUGCCUCCGCUUCCACCGCCCUCUUUGGAGAGAAAGAAAAAAAGAGAACUAUAGAGGAAAAAAAAAAAAAAAAGUGAGAGAAAAGAAAAUAAGGGUAUCUUGGUCAGUUUUCUAAAAAUUCUUCCUGAAUCUACAAAAUUCAAUUCGGCCUGAAUCUGCAAAAUUCAAAAAGACAGCCUAUUUUUUCAAAAUCUCAAAACUAAUAAUUUUUUUAUGCAAAUUGGCCUUAAUUAAUUAGUUCGUAUUUAAAUAGCAAUCAUAGAGCCUGACUUAUGUUUUAAGUUAUUUUAUAUGGUAGAAUUUUCGAUUCGGCAAUCGAUUCUAUUAGAUUUAAUCUAAACUAUUUAAAAUAUUUAAAGUACUUGAAAUUCAACAGUUUAAAAAAAUUAUAAAAAAUAAUUAUAUAACACUAAAAUUUUAAAUCAAACGAAUUGAUUUUAUUUUAGAUAGUAUAUAAAGAAUAUUCUAUCAAAAUUUUAUAUUAUUUGAAUAUUUUUAGACCGUUAAACUUGUAAAUAGCUCUACUCGACCAUUAAAAUUGUUAACUUUGAAUCCCUUCGAUCACUAUUAAAUGAUAUUAGAAAACUAUAAAAUUUAUUAUUCAAACACUUCAAAUACUCUAUAUCAAAUCUAAUAGAAGUAAUCGUCAAUUUAAAAUUUUCAUCAUAAAAAAUAACUUAGAAGCAUGAAAAGUCUCCAUACAUUGGAAAGCACACUAGCCUAGUUCAGUAUCAUAUUCAGCCUUCAGAUUAAUUUUUUAGACAUAAGAUAAAUUACUUUUAGGUAAAAUGUGUUAUUUUAUCAAGGAAUAAAAAUCAAAAUUUUACUUUUUCAAUCACACAAAAUAUAUCACAUGCCGAACAAGUUAUUCUACUACAAUUUACUAUGAUGUCUAAAAAUAACCUACAACAGCACGAAAUGCUUUAAAUAUAAUAAUAUUGUCUUCAUAGAAAGUUGAUGUAUUAUUAAUUUCAUGUAACAAUAUAUCCAAAGUGCCUGAAUCAAUCCAAGACCUUGGUGGCGGCACAUCAAGUAUUAAAUAUAUUUUUGAGUGUAUUUUGUUUUUAGAGUGAUUUUUGUGUAACAUGGUCUUAAAGCUAAUUUUAAACUUCUGUGAUUAGGUAAGAUCAUGAAUUUUGCAUCCGUUUCAAUGGAUUAAAUACUGAUAUUUACUUGUCAAUUGCAUGUGUUACAAGUAUCCUGCAUGCAAGGGCAGCAUCAUUUGAGUUAUUCCUAUGCCUAUUUUUUGUUAGAUUUAUUUUUUGGAUAACAUCAACAGUUUAUAUGAGCUACAUUUUGGGGAAGCUCUAGAGAAGGUCGCUGUUGAAAUUCUGCUAAAACAGCAAUCCUCAAAGUGAAAAUGGUAGAAUUUGGAGUAAUUUGAGGGUUAAAGUGCAAAUUCGAACUUCCCUGUGAAAGGGGGGGUGAAAAAGCUUCUCGGGAGUCGAAUACCAGCUAUUUAUACUGAGGUGAAAGGGUGAAAUAAGCCUCAAGAACAAGAGCUGUUAACCUGCUAUCCUGCAGGAACGGGCACUUUCGGGCGCCCAAAACCGUGUUCUGUGCGUCCGAAUCCUCCAAGCUACACAAAGCUCCCACUUCGGUUCCUCCGCCUGCGGUCUGCUGUGCCAUAACGUGGUCCGGCGGGCCUCACCUACCACCAUACAUGUGUCAGCACAAUCGAUAUUCCCAACGUGAACAUUCGAAUCCACUUCUGGGCACCCGGAACAUAGGAUCCGAAUUGACUUCCAAUUUCAGUUAAUUUCAGCACUCAGUUCUGGGCGACCUAAACCAGGUUCUGAGCGUCCGAAACUGGCAAAACUUCAGUUUUGCUUAUUUGAGUGCGUCAGGUCCAUUUCUACAUCCAUUUCGUACAGAAACGACUCCGACUCAGUCCGACACUCUCCAGAUAUGUCGACCAGUCACUAAUACUGUAGCCAAUCCUAUCCAAAACUCUGGAACACUACAAUUUGGUUCGGAUUAUCCUGGCAGGAUUACAGACAUUCCUGCCAGGAUUACUGCAUUUGGUUCAUCCAAUAUAUAGUCUGUUCGGUAUUGUAGCAUUACAAAAAGUGUAAGAUUACACCAAAAAUAUUACCGAGAGAGGGAGUGUGUACCUUCGAUUACUAAAAGCGGCUAAUCUUGCAUGUUACAUAAAAUUACAAGUUUACAUCUCCAACUCCUGAAACCCUUUCAAUACAUCAUUUUAAAAUUUUAAAUUUCAAAUUUCAAAAUUUGAAUUGCCGAUUUUUAAAUUUUAAACUUUAAAUUUUAAAUUUUUAAACCUCAACUUUUAAAUUUCAAAUUUCAAAAUUUGAAUUGCCGAUUUUUAAAUUUUAAACUUUAAAUUUUAAAUUUUUAAACCUCAACUUUUAAAUUUCAAAUUUCAAAAUUUGAAUUGCCGAUUUUUAAAUUUUAAACUUUAAAUUUUAAAUUUUUAAACCUCAACUUUUAAAUUUCAAAUUUCAAAAUUUGAAUUGCCGAUUUUUAAAUUUUAAACUUUAAAUUUUAAAUUUUUAAACCUCAACUUUUAAAUUUCAAAUUUCAAAAUUUGAAUUGCCGAUUUUUAAAUUUUAAACUUUAAAUUUUAAAUUUUUAAACCUCAACUUUUAAAUUUCAAAUUUCAAAAUUUGAAUUGCCGAUUUUUAAAUUUUAAACUUUAAAUUUUAAAUUCUAAAUUUUAAAUUUAGAUUUAAUUUUAAAUUUUAAUGUAAAAUUUAAACUCGUUUCCAUACAAAAUCUAAGAGCCUACCACAAGUAUAUAGCUCACCCCCAAACAUAUAUAUACGAUUAUCUAGUUAAUAUGUCUCCUCAUGAGUACAAGAUACAUUUCUAAUAUGCAAGGUGAGCCGGCAAAUCAUGAUACAGAAUAUCUAGAGCCAGUAUUCACCGGCCGGAAGGAUUUCUGUUCCGCGACAAGUAUGAUGGAUCUCCGAGUCCGAG